CUUAUAUAAUUGCUUAAUCCUUAAGGAGUGGGGGACCCAUUUUGUGCAUCGUCACUGGGGGUGAAUCCUUCAUAAGAAGGCAGGGCUACUCUCAAAGCCCGAAUCCGACAGCUAACCUCAUAAGCGUCUAGGGAGGAGGU
rnacentral:sRNA from 2 species